rnacentral:tRNA from 2 species
GCGGUAGUAGCUCAGUCGGUAGAGCAUCGGCUUCCCAAGCCGAGGGUCGCGGGUUCGAGCCCCGUCUACCGCU